rnacentral:lncRNA from 1 species
UGUUCGAUCCCAAAAGUGGUGUCGAUCAAUGCUCGGCUGAUGAUGUCGAUCGGUGCUCAGUUGUUGGUGUCGAUCGACACCAGUACGAGCUUCCUAUGGUCAUGGAGCUUUCAACUAGAAAAGCAUCUUCUUCCAGCUGUCAUUAUCUGAGAUGGUAUCAACAUGGUGCCUCUCACUUUCCACAGCUUUCCCUUUGACCAUAGCUUCUUGCUUCUUCACAGCUUCUGCAGUCUGAGAAACCUGGGUAUGCAGCAUCAUGACAUGGACAUCUAAGGUUUCAAAUUUUCUAUUCAGCUCUUUGUAGAGAACAUCCAACCUCAGAUUUAAGUAUGCACUCGUCUUUUGCUAAAUUUCCAGGACCUUCUCUGUCAUAGAUUCCAUCGUUUUUAUAUGGCCCUGAUCCUCAUCCUUCUCAACAGCAUGUUCUACCAACGAGACUUCAUGUACAGAACCAAUGUUGGCUUCAACUAUCUUGUCACCAUCUAUUACAGCCGAUCUCAUCUUGUGCAUAUCCAAAUUCUUGGAAACUUUUCUUCACACUCAGUUCUCAAUCAAUUCCUUAGCUUCCUCUAGGAUCCUUGUCUCGAAGUUUCCUUCGCUUGCUAGAUGCAGCCUUAUAUAAUAUCGCACAUCAA